AAUAGAUACCCUGGUAGUCCACGCCGUAAACGAUGUCGACUUGGAGGUUGUUCCCUUGAGGAGUGGCUUCCGGAGCUAACGCGUUAAGUCGACCGCCUGGGGAGUACGGCCGCAAGGUUAAAACUCAAAUGAAUUGACGGGGGCCCGCACAAGCGGUGGAGCAUGUGGUUUAAUUCGAUGCAACGCGAAGAACCUUACCUACUCUUGACAUCCACGGAACUUUUCAGAGAUGAAUUGGUGCCUUCGGGAACCGUGAGACAGGUGCUGCAUGGCUGUCGUCAGCUCGUGUUGUGAAAUGUUGGGUUAAGUCCCGCAACGAGCGCAACCCUUAUCCUUUGUUACCAGCGGUCCGGCCGGGAACUCAAAGGAGACUGCCAGUGAUAAACUGGAGGAAGGUGGGGAUGACGUCAAGUCAUCAUGGCCCUUACGAGUAGGGCUACACACGUGCUACAAUGGCGCAUACAAAGAGAAGCGACCUCGCGAGAGCAAGCGGACCUCAUAAAGUGCGUCGUAGUCCGGAUUGGAGU
rnacentral:rRNA from 1 species